CCUUUGUUGGUUUUUUAUACAAGGUCUUGUGAAUUGCAGUGUGGCCACUGUUAUGACAAGUGUUUGCGAGUUGUUGUUGAUGAUAUGGAAUUGCAGAGCAUCAGUUGCGUGGUUAUAGGGCAGCAGGCCGGAGCUGGUUUGGUGAAGAAGAGUCGAUAUGGAAUUGAAGAAGAGGGCAGCUAUCACAUCAUUUUUUAAUAUUCAGCCCAGGGCAACGUUCCUAUCAUGAUCUUCCUUCGUGCGGAGUCCUCUUCGUGCUUCUUGCAUCCCUGUGAAGAGUGCCGGUAAUGGUGUGCUUGAUUAUAUAGAAGCCAUAAACAGAACACUAAUUGAUUCAGGGAUCACCAUCGUCGGAGAUAGCGGAGCAGAUAGAAUCACCUCCUCUUUUGAUGCUGAUGCUGAAGAAAUGUGACCACAUAACCAUGUAUACAGGAAUAGGGAAGAGAAAUUAACAUACGAGCCCAUGUAAUGUGGUUGCAACCGAAGAAAACACUCUUGGCUUCACUUACACCACCUUCACAUGCCUUGAAAAAUUCUGAAAUAGAGAGUCCACCCGUCAUCUUAGUUAGUAGUGAAGUAUUGUAUAAAUAAGCACUGAUCGGAAUGUAUAUACCAAUCCACUCUACACUACGUAUUUAGUUGUCUAUGGCCAGUUAAGGCUUUCCCUAUCUCUCAAUUAAGUAUGUAAGAUUUAUUGUUUGUCCAAUUCAUUUGCCUUUGAAAACACAUGAUCUGCCAUUUUCAACUACAAAAUGAUCAACACAGGCAUUGCGUACAUCUUUGGUGAUCAAAUUGAGGUACGCUUCCUAUUGAUCAGAACGGCAUCUAGCAGCAAAGCUUAAUGUAGUAAUAAUUUAACAUGAUGUAGUCAUAUAAGUAACUAUGAAAUGUCAUGAAAUCCUCUGCCCCCUGCAAAUAAACAUGAAUUGAAAAGAUGUUUCAAAGUUUCUUUCCAAUGGUCUGCAUACUAAGAGAUAUUCCUAUAUGGUUACCCUAAAGCCAGUAUUUACCGUCUGCUGAUAUAGGAUUUUUUUUAAAUACUGGAGGUGAUACUUGUACUCAGAUUCAUACUGUUUAGUCCUUUUGUGGGGUUUUAAAUUGCGUGCCAUCAUUGUUGUGGAUUUAGGAUAAAAGAGAGUACUCCGACAGGCCAAAAAAGGAGGAAUUGUUUUCCUCCAGAUCGGAUAGGUUAAAUGUGGUUCUACAUUAAUUUGGUGGUAUCAUUUAUCCUAAUUUACUGCUAUCAACUCAAGUUAUUUCACUUGCGUGAUCUCCUUGAACGUGCUAUUUUUUUAUCAGCUUAUGGUUUAUACCCCCGAAUGAAAUAAGAUAGGUUUUUCUUCGUAUUUUGAAAUUCUUUAAGUCGAUGUUAAAUAAGUUUUGGUUUAGUCUUCCAUUUUACCAUUAUGUUGAGAUUGGCAAACUAUAGGUACGGUUAGGCUCUCAAUGCUUAUUUAUUUGCCUUGACUUCUGUUUCUUAGGAUACAUAUGAACGUUGUGGAACACCACAAAAGACAUCUGCAGUAAAAUCUGCUGUUGAUGAUUUUUCAGAAUAUACUCCAUCUAAGUCUGAUUCUAUGGCGUUCGAUGAUGUUCCUAUGCGCUCAAAGAAUUAUAUAUUAUCAGGGCAUCGCCAUCUGACAGAAGAACGAGAGUUGAUGAUCUUUAAAUUUGGUUGUUUAUUUUUUCCGUCAAAGAAGAAUGUAGAAACAUAUCAACGCUCUCUUGAAGCUAGGAAGACAGGAACCAAGUUUUUUUGCUUUUAUUUCGUAUUUGGUUUUGUAUAAAAUAAAUUGCUAAGCUCCAUGAUUCGUGAGAUUUGCACCAUCUGAGUUUAGCUCCGGCCGCAGCGUCCAACUUCAUAGGGCCUGGAUUUCGUGUUUUCUCCCCACCGAGGUCAGACUGCCUCACAAAUAUCCACGCGCCCAAGACAAUUCUUUGCAGCCUUUUGCGGAGUGCCACAAGCCCUGCUAUUUUUCUGGGAUCUGUUUUUGAUCCCAAGAAUGGUGAUUGUUUGCACAUUGAGCUAGCAAAGACGAAUUCACGCAAACGUAAUGGAGGUGGUGGUGAUGCGUACAGAGUUAUUGACAAGCGAGUACAUAGAACAGAGGAAAAUUCUGGCAAUGACAACAACGGUGAUGAAGGUGGUGAUGAUUUAUCUGGCAAUGGUAAUGGUGGUGACAAUGAUGGUAAUGGUCAUACUUUUUUGCAUGAAAUCUCCCAUAUGUAAGGGAGUUUCUCCUCAAAUCCACAUAGCUAUUACCCUUACUACCUCCAUCAUUCGCAUUUAGACUGAACUUGUUAUAAGUGAAAUACGGAAGAUAAAUUUGCUGUCCAGCGAUGGCUUCUAUUAACUUCCUUGUCCGUUUUUUUCUUGUGGUAUCUUCCAUGUCUCGAGGAGCACAUUAUGACUUUUAACACAUAAUUUUGAUAUUUGAUUAAUUAGGGGGCUGCUUCUUCAUUUUCUUUUCUCUAGAAUUAUUUGAGUUCAUUUGAUUACAUAACUAAGAGUAUUGCCAUCUUACUAUGUUAGAAGGAUUAAGACUAACAUUCAUUAUGUUGUUCCAACUAUUUAUUCUGAUAGUUGUUAAGUAAUGUUUGUCUCUCAUUUACUAUAGAUCAUACAACUUAGUUUAAGGGAAUGAUGAGUGAAGGUGGAGGAGUUGAUGAAGACAAUACUAAAUCCUAUAGGGCAAUGGUUAUUUUUUCACUGCCCAAGGACAAGCUAAGAUGGCUCCAAGCUCAUAUGAGCUCCUCCAUUUCGUUAGUUUUUUAUCUUAACUGAAGAGGAAUUUGUUGACAGUGUGUGAUUUCUCUUUGACUUUCGUUGAUGUCUAACUUGAUGAGCUGGUGAAACAAAUCCGUUGCUGAUUUACAAAUUUCUCUUUGAUUUACCAAAAAUCUGACUUGAUUUUCGUUGCUCUAACUAGAUGAGGUGGAGAAAAUCACAAAGAGGUGCUUAAGAAAUAUACACCGUCUAACUUUAUGUAUUUGAUCUUCGUUGUUUUAGGUUGUGGGCUGGUGUAGGCUGUUGUUGCGACUAUUCCUCUGAUAGGUUGGACCUAGGUACAUUUUCGACCUAGGUACAUUUUCACCGAUUCGAUCUUCACGUGUUAGUUAUAAAGAGUUACUUUGUUUGAUCUAAAUAUCCUCUUGCAUUUUGUAUGGCGAUGGCAAGUCUAUUAUCGUCUGAUCUGUCACGAGAGCCUUGCUGUAGGAAUCACCACCUUGGAUUGGAUCUAAAGGUAUGCUUGAGGCGGCACCUCCGGUUGAGUUUGAAGAGGUGAUUCUUUUUUGCACAUUAAACACACCAUUGCAUAAUAUAAUUUCAGUGCAAUACAAUGUUCAUGGUCAAAUGAUAUUCGGUUAUGAAACAAGAUGGUAAGACAAGUUUAGAAGCUGAAUAAAUGGACGGUGAAGGAAACACCCACACCCAUGCCUGGGUGUACAAAAGUAUUUCCCCUUUUGUAUAAUGUACCAAUAUCACUUGGCAGGUCAGACAAAUAUCACUUUGCAAAUUUGAUUCUCAGUGGAGAAACCAAAUAUGAAGCAAAGAUUAAGGAGAAAGAAAGGACAACAAAAACCACUUUUGUGUAACAAAAGCCACUUUUGUGUAACCAAAAUGAAUAGCUGGUUAUAUAUAAGUUACACAAAUGAUGAUUUCUUAUUGGUUUC